GAUGAACGCUGGCGGCGUGCCUAAUACAUGCAAGUCGAGCGAACGGACGAGAAGCUUGCUUCUCUGAUGUUAGCGGCGGACGGGUGAGUAACACGUGGAUAACCUACCUAUAAGACUGGGAUAACUUCGGGAAACCGGAGCUAAUACCGGAUAAUAUUUUGAACCGCAUGGUUCAAAAGUGAAAGACGGUCUUGCUGUCACUUAUAGAUGGAUCCGCGCUGCAUUAGCUAGUUGGUAAGGUAACGGCUUACCAAGGCAACGAUGCAUAUCCGACCUGAGAGGGUGAUCGCCCACACUGGAACUGAGACACGGUCCAGGCUCCUACGGGAGGCAGCAGUAGGGAAUCUUCCGCAAUGGGCGAAAGCCUGACGGAGCAACGCCGCGUGAGUGAUGAAGGUCUUCGGAUCGUAAAACUCUGUUAUUAGGGAAGAACAUAUGUGUAAGUAACUGUGCACAUCUUGACGGUACCUAAUCAGAAAGCCACGGCUAACUACGUG
rnacentral:rRNA from 1 species